rnacentral:rRNA from 1 species
GACGAACCGUACGAACGUUAUUCGGAAUCACUGGGCUUAAAGGGUGCGUAGGCUGCGCAGCAAGUUGGGUGUGAAAUCCCUCGGCUUAACCGAGGAACUGCGCCCAAAACUGCUGUGCUCGAGGGAGAUAGAGGUGAGCGGAACUUAGGGUGGAGCGGUGAAAUGCGUUGAUAUCCUAAGGAACACCGGUGGCGAAAGCGGCUCACUGGAUUUCUUCUGACGCUGAGGCACGAAAGCUAGGGUAGCGAACGGG